GCUAUGCAAUAUGGCAGUCCUGAGCAGCUGAGGUGCACCUAGUGCAGUUGAGAAGCUGACUUCUUUUGUUUCACACUAAUAUGGUCUAAGUAGGGACAAGCAGC
rnacentral:miRNA from 1 species